rnacentral:misc_RNA from 1 species
CCGAGUUCUAAACUCCCAAACCCUUUGUGAACCUUACCCAUCGUUGCUUCGGCGGGAUCGCCCCGGCGCCUCACGCGCGCCGGAUCCGCGGCACCCGCCGGGGGACCGAAACUCUUGAUUUCUUCAGUGGUAUUCUCUCUGAGUGGCACAAGCAAAAUAAAAUCA